AAUAUUGGACAAUUGGCGAAAGCCUGAUCCAGCCAUGCCGCGUAUGUGAAGAAGGAGCUCGGAUUGUAAAGCAUACUUAGUUGGGAGGCAGGGCUGUAGAUUAAUACUCCGCCCUUUCGACUUUCUAGACAGCAUAAGCCCCGGGUACUUUCGUGCUAUCACCCGCGUUAACACGAAGGGUUCAAGCGUUAAUCGAAAUUACUGGGCGUAAAGCACGCGUAGGUGGUUCGUUAAGUUGGAUGGGAAAGCCCCGGGCUCAACAGGGGAACUGCAUCCAAAACUGGCGAGCUAGAGUACGGUAGAGGGUGGUGGAAUUUCCUGUGUAGCGGUGAAAUGCGUAGAUAUAGGAAGGAACACCAGUGGCGAAGGCGACCACCUGGACUGAUACUGACACUGAGGUGCGAAAGCGUGGGGAGCAAACAGG
rnacentral:rRNA from 1 species